rnacentral:rRNA from 1 species
GAUGAACGCUGGCGGCGUGCCUAAUACAUGCAAGUCGAGCGAACAGACGAGGCGCUUGCUUCUCUGACGUUAGCGGCGGACGGGUGAGUAACACGUGGAUACCCUACCUAUAAGACUGGGAUAACUUCGGGAAACCGGAGCUAAUACCGGAUAAUAUAUUGAACCGCAUGGUUCAAUAGUGAAAGACGGUUUUGCUGUCACUUAUAGAUGGAUCCGCGCCGCAUUAGCUAGUUGGUAAGGUAACGGCUUACCAAGGCAACGAUGCGUAGCCGACCUGAGAGGGUGAUCAGCCACACUGGAACUGAGACACGGUCCAGACUCCUACGGGAGGCAGCAGUAGGGAAUCUUCCGCAAUGGGCGAAAGCUUGACGGAGCAACGCCGCGUGAGUGAUGAAGGUCUUCGGAUCGUAAAACUCUGUUAUUAGGGAAGAAGAAAAGUGUAAGUAACUAUGCACGUCUUGACGGUACCAAAUCAGAAAGCCACGGCUAACUACGUG